rnacentral:rRNA from 1 species
GAUGAACGCUGGCGGCGUGCCUAAUACAUGCAAGUCGAGCGAACAGACGAGGAGCUUGCUCCUCUGACGUUAGCGGCGGACGGGUGAGUAACACGUGGAUAACCUACCUAUAAGACUGGGAUAACUUCGGGAAACCGGAGCUAAUACCGGAUAAUAUAUUGAACCGCAUGGUUCAAUAGUGAAAGACGGUUUUGCUGUCACUUAUAGAUGGAUCCGCGCCGCAUUAGCUAGUUGGUAAGGUAACGGCUUACCAAGGCAACGAUGCGUAGCCGACCUGAGAGGGUGAUAGGCCACACUGGAACUGAGACACGGUCCAGACUCCUACGGGAGGCAGCAGUAGGGAAUCUUCCGCAAUGGGCGAAAGCAUGACGGAGCAACGCCGCGUGAGUGAUGAAGGUCUUCGGAUCGUAAAACUCUGUUAUUAGGGAAGAACAAAUGUGUAAGUAACUAUGCACGUCUUGACGGUACCUAAUCAGAAAGCCACGGCUAACUACGUG